GGCGGAAUGGAGAAGCCUGGUAUCUCGUCGGACUCAUAAUCCGAAGGUCGCUAGUUCAAGUCUAGCUUCCGCCA
rnacentral:tRNA from 1 species